rnacentral:rRNA from 1 species
CGCCCUUAGAGUUUGAUCAUGGCUCAGGACGAACGCUGGCGGCGUGCCUAAUACAUGCAAGUCGAACGCAGCUUGCUUUGGUAAGAUGAGUGGCGAACGGGUGAGUAACACGUGGGUAACCUGCCUAUCAGAGGGGGAUAACACUUGGAAACAGGUGCUAAUACCGCAUAGAUUUCUUUCGCAUGAAAAGAGAGGAAAGACGUACGUGUCACUGAUAGAUGGACCCGCGGUGCAUUAGCUAGUUGGUGAGGUAACGGCUCACCAAGGCCAUGAUGCAUAGCCGACCUGAGAGGGUGAUCGGCCACACUGGGACUGAGACACGGCCCAGACUCCUACGGGAGGCA